UUCCAAAUACCUGACUAAGUGCAGAUGUUGUUGCGUCUUCACAUCCUAUAAAGCCGCCGUGCCGCUCUCGGGCUCUCGCUUCCCUUUCAAGUUGCAGGAAAUUCAAACACUUUACAUGACGGGUGGAGAAGGUUUGGGAUUUUUUUUUUUUUUUUGGAUUAUUAUUGUUAUGAGUUGAUUUUUUUUUUUAAGCUGAUCUUUAGGAUGAAAAAAAAAAAUCGCAGUCGCCUAAAGUCCCCGGGAAAUUGCUACUGUUGGGGGAAAACGAAACAUUUCUUGAAAACAAGAAAAUGGGUGAAUUGUUCAUCUCCCCUUCCUAUACACACAGUCUUGUCCCUUGGUUGGACUACCAGAAACAUCAAGGAAGCUGCCUUGAUUGAACCUUUCUGGGGCCACAUGCAGGGUUUUUCUCCUCCUGGGAUGAUGAGAGCUGUGGCAGUGUGUGCACACUGUGUCAGACCUGAGAGCAGCUGCCAAGUGUGGACACCCACAGAAGGAUUUUCU